rnacentral:rRNA from 1 species
ACAAGGUAGCCGUAAAGUUUGAUUGAGCCGCAGGGUUCAAACAUAAGGGGUGGCUUCGGCUACCACUUACAGAUGGACCCGCGGCGCAGUAGCUAGUUGGUGAGGUAACGGCUCACCAAGGCAACGAUGCGUAGCCGACCUGAGAGGGUGAUCGGCCACACUGGGACUGAGACACGGCCCAGACUCCUACGGGAGGCAGCAGUAGGGAAUCUUCCGCAAUGGACGAAAGUCUGACGGAGCAACGCCGCGUGAGUGAUGAAGGUUUUCGGAUCGUAAAGCUCUGUUGUUAGGGAAGAACAAGUACCGUUCGAAUAGGGCGGUACCUUGACGGUACCUAACCAGAAAGCCACGGCUAACUACGUGCCAGCAGCCGCGGUAAUACGUAGGUGGCAAGCGUUGUCCGGAAUUAUUGGGCGUAAAGGGCUCGCAGGCGGUUUCUUAAGUCUGAUGUGAAAGCCCCCGGCUCAACCGGGGAGGGUCAUUGGAAACUGGGGAACUUGAGUGCAGAAGAGGAGAGUGGAAUUCCACGUGUAGCGGUGAAAUGCGUAGAGAUGUGGAGGAACACCAGUGGCGAAGGCGACUCUCUGGUCUGUAACUGACGCUGAGGAGCGAAAGCGUGGGGAGCGAACAGGAUUAGAUACCCUGGUAGUCCACGCCGUAAACGAUGAGUGCUAAGUGUUAGGGGGGUUUCCGCCCCUUAGUGCUGCAGCUAACGCAUUAAGCACUCCGCCUGGGGAGUACGGUCGCAAGACUGAAACUCAAAGGAAUUGACGGGGGCCCGCACAAGCGGUGGAGCAUG